rnacentral:rRNA from 1 species
GGGUUGUGAGGUUAAGCGACUAAGCGUACACGGUGGAUGCCCUGGCAGUCAGAGGCGAUGAAGGACGUGCUAAUCUGCGAAAAGCGUCGGUAAGGUGAUAUGAACCGUUAUAGCCGGCGAUGUCCGAAUGGGGAAACCCAGUGUGAUUCGUCACACUAUCGUUAACUGAAUACAUAGGUUAACGAGGCGAACCGGGGGAACUGAAACAUCUAAGUACCCCGAGGAAAAGAAAUCAACCGAGAUUCCCCCAGUAGCGGCGAGCGAACGGGGAGCAGCCCAGAGUCUGAAUCAGCUUGUGUGUUAGUGGAACGGUCUGGAAAGUCCGACGGUACAGGGUGAUAGUCCCGUACACCAAAAUGCACAGGUUGUGAACUCGAAGAGUAGGGCGGGACACGUGGUAUCCUGUCUGAAUAUGGGGGGACCAUCCUCCAAGGCUAAAUACUCCUGACUGACCGAUAGUGAACCAGUACCGUGAGGGAAAGGCGAAAAGAACCCCGGCGAGGGGAGUGAAAAAGAACCUGAAACCGUGUACGUACAAGCAGUGGGAGCACCUUCGGGUGUGACUGCGUACCUUUUGUAUAAUGGGUCAGCGACUUAUAUUCUGUAGCAAGGUUAACCGUAUAGGGGAGCCGCAGGGAAACCGAGUCUUAACUGGGCGUUAAGUUGCAGGGUAUAGACCCGAAACCCGGUGAUCUAGCCAUGGGCAGGUUGAAGGUUGGGUAACACUAACUGGAGGACCGAACCGACUAAUGUUGAAAAAUUAGCGGAUGACUUGUGGCUGGGGGUGAAAGGCCAAUCAAACCGGGAGAUAGCUGGUUCUCCCCGAAAGCUAUUUAGGUAGCGCCUCGUGAAUUCAUCUUCGGGGGUAGAGCACUGUUUCGGCUAGGGGGUCAUCCCGACUUACCAACCCGAUGCAAACUACGAAUACCGAAGAAUGUUAUCACGGGAGACACACGGCGGGUGCUAACGUCCGUCGUGAAGAGGGAAACAACCCAGACCGCCAGCUAAGGUCCCAAAGUCAUGGUUAAGUGGGAAACGAUGUGGGAAGGCACAGACAGCCAGGAUGUUGGCUUAGAAGCAGCCAUCAUUUAAAGAAAGCGUAAUAGCUCACUGGUCGAGUCGGCCUGCGCGGAAGAUGUAACGGGGCUAAACCAUGCACCGAAGCUGCGGCAGCGACACUAUGUGUUGUUGGGUAGGGGAGCGUUCUGUAAGCCUGCGAAGGUGUGCUGUGAGGCAUGCUGGAGGUAUCAGAAGUGCGAAUGCUGACAUAAGUAACGAUAAAGCGGGUGAAAAGCCCGCUCGCCGGAAGACCAAGGGUUCCUGUCCAACGUUAAUCGGGGCAGGGUGAGUCGACCCCUAAGGCGAGGCCGAAAGGCGUAGUCGAUGGGAAACAGGUUAAUAUUCCUGUACUUGGUGUUACUGCGAAGGGGGGACGGAGAAGGCUAUGUUAGCCGGGCGACGGUUGUCCCGGUUUAAGCAUGUAGGCUGAUUGUCCAGGCAAAUCCGGAUAAUCAAGGCUGAGGUGUGAUGACGAGGCACUACGGUGCUGAAGUAACAAAUGCCCUGCUUCCAGGAAAAGCCUCUAAGCAUCAGGUAACAUCAAAUCGUACCCCAAACCGACACAGGUGGUCAGGUAGAGAAUACCAAGGCGCUUGAGAGAACUCGGGUGAAGGAACUAGGCAAAAUGGUGCCGUAACUUCGGGAGAAGGCACGCUGGUGUGUAGGUGAAGCCCCUGCGGGUGGAGCUGAGACCAGUCGAAGAUACCAGCUGGCUGCAACUGUUUAUUAAAAACACAGCACUGUGCAAACACGAAAGUGGACGUAUACGGUGUGACGCCUGCCCGGUGCCGGAAGGUUAAUUGAUGGGGUUAUCCGUAAGGAGAAGCUCUUGAUCGAAGCCCCGGUAAACGGCGGCCGUAACUAUAACGGUCCUAAGGUAGCGAAAUUCCUUGUCGGGUAAGUUCCGACCUGCACGAAUGGCGUAAUGAUGGCCAGGCUGUCUCCACCCGAGACUCAGUGAAAUUGAACUCGCUGUGAAGAUGCAGUGUACCCGCGGCAAGACGGAAAGACCCCGUGAACCUUUACUAUAGCUUGACACUGAACAUUGAGCCUUGAUGUGUAGGAUAGGUGGGAGGCUUUGAAGCGUGGACGCCAGUCUGCGUGGAGCCAACCUUGAAAUACCACCCUUUAAUGUUUGAUGUUCUAACGUUGGCCCCUGACCGGGGUUGCGGACAGUGUCUGGUGGGUAGUUUGACUGGGGCGGUCUCCUCCCAAAGCGUAACGGAGGAGCACGAAGGUUAGCUAAUCCUGGUCGGACAUCAGGAGGUUAGUGCAAUGGCAUAAGCUAGCUUGACUGCGAGCGUGACGGCGCGAGCAGGUGCGAAAGCAGGUCAUAGUGAUCCGGUGGUUCUGAAUGGAAGGGCCAUCGCUCAACGGAUAAAAGGUACUCCGGGGAUAACAGGCUGAUACCGCCCAAGAGUUCAUAUCGACGGCGGUGUUUGGCACCUCGAUGUCGGCUCAUCACAUCCUGGGGCUGAAGUAGGUCCCAAGGGUAUGGCUGUUCGCCAUUUAAAGUGGUACGCGAGCUGGGUUUAGAACGUCGUGAGACAGUUCGGUCCCUAUCUGCCGUGGGCGCUGGAGAAUUGAGGGGGGCUGCUCCUAGUACGAGAGGACCGGAGUGGACGCAUCACUGGUGUUCGGGUUGUCAUGCCAAUGGCACUGCCCGGUAGCUAAAUGCGGAAGAGAUAAGUGCUGAAAGCAUCUAAGCACGAAACUUGCCCCGAGAUGAGUUCUCCCUGAGACUUUAAGUCUCCUGAAGGAACGUUAAAGACGAUGACGUUGAUAGGCCGGGUGUGUAAGCGCAGCGAUGCGUUGAGCUAACCGGUACUAAUGAACCGUGAGGCUUAACCUUACAACGCCGAAG